CCUACGGGAGACAGCAGUGGGGAAUAUUGGGCAAUGGGCGCAAGCCUGACCCAGCAACGCCGCGUGAAGGAAGAAGGCUUUCAGGUUGUAAACUUCUUUUGUCAGGGAAGAGUAGAAGACGGUACCUGACGAAUAAGCCACGGCUAACUACGUGCCAGCAGCCGCGGUAAUACGUAGGUGGCAAGCGUUGUCCGGAUUUACUGGGUGUAAAGGGCGUGUAGCCGGGUUGACAAGUCAGAUGUGAAAUCCUGCGGCUUAACCGCAGAACUGCAUUUGAAACUGUUGAUCUUGAGUACUGGAGAGGCAGAUGGAAUUCCUAGUGUAGCGGUGAAAUGCGUAGAUAUUAGGAGGAACACCAGUGGCGAAGGCGGUCUGCUGGACAGCAACUGACGGUGAGGCGCGAAAGCGUGGGGAGCAAACAGGAUUAGAUACCCCGGUAGUC
rnacentral:rRNA from 1 species